AUUUAUAAAUACUAUAUAUAAUUUCUAAAUCAAUCAAAAUAUAUUAACUAAUAACACCUUCUAAAUAAUGCGAACAAAUUUUUAAAAACUAAUGAUGGAUCAAAACUAAAACUAAUAAAGCAAUAUUCAAAGUGAUUAUCUUAUACAAUAAAGUUGCCUUGAGUCUCUCCUCCUGCGUCCACGUCAUCAGAGAGGUAGGGGCAAAUGUUGACACAUCAGCAUCUCUUUCUGAACAAAACACGGUGCUUUCGUUUCUAUGAAAUCUCUUGAUGGGCCCACUUAAUUGUACUGAAAGCAAUGUUUUUGAAGAAGAGUUUGGGCUUAAUGAUGAUAUACUGUCUCGUGGUCCAACUCAACCCUAGCACUCAUCCAUCCUCUUCUUCUUCUCGUGUCCCUUGCUUCCCCCUC
rnacentral:lncRNA from 1 species